GCCAGGUGUGGUGGUGCGUGCCUGUAAUCCUGGCUACUCGGGAGGCUGAGGCAGUAGACUUGCUUGAACCUGGGAGGUGGAGGUUGCAGUGAGCCAAAAUGGUGCCACUGCACUCCAGCCUGGGUUACAGAGCAAGACUCUGUCUCAA
rnacentral:SRP_RNA from 1 species